GCAUUGAUGGUCUAGUGGUUAUGAUUGCCGCCUUCCAUUUCCGGAAGGUUCAGCGGCAGAGCGGGGUUCGAUUCCCCGUCAAUGCA
rnacentral:tRNA from 1 species